rnacentral:tRNA from 3 species
GGCCUGAUGGUCUAGGAGUAUGAUUCGUUGUUAGGGCACUUCUGCUUUUCGACGAGGUCCCGGGUUCAAUUCCCGGUCAGGCCC